rnacentral:rRNA from 1 species
UACGUAGGGGGCUAGCGUUGUCCGGAUUUAUUGGGCGUAAAGGGUGCGUAGGCGGCCGGGUAAGUCUGAUGUGAAAUCCCGCAGCUCAACUGCGGAACUGCAUCGGAUACUCUCCGGCUAGAGGAAUGGAGGGGAGACUGGAAUUCUCGGUGUAGCAGUGAAAUGCGUAGAUAUCGAGAGGAACACCAGUGGCGAAGGCGAGUCUCUGGACAUUUCCUAACGCUGAGGCACGAAAGCCAGGGGAGCAAACGGG